UAGGGAAUCUUGGUCAAUAGGCGAAAGCCUGAACCAGCCAUGCCGCGUGCAGGAUGAAGGCCCUAUGGGUCGUAAACUGCUUUUAAUCGGGAAGAAAAAGUCUGUGUCCACAGACCUUGACGGUACCGAUUGAAUAAGGGCCGGCUAACUCCGUGCCAGCAGCCGCGGUAAUACGGAGGGCCCAAGCGUUAUCCGGAUUCACUGGGUUUAAAGGGUGCGCAGGCGGUCAAGUAAGUCAGUGGUGAAAGCCUUCGGCUCAACCGGAGAAUUGCCAUUGAAACUACUUGACUUGAGUGUAGUCGAGGCAGGCGGAAUGUAGCAUGUAGCGGUGAAAUGCAUAGAUAUGCUACAGAACACCGAUUGCGAAAGCAGCUUGCCAGACUACUACUGACGCUGAGGCACGAAAGUGUGGGUAGCAAACA
rnacentral:rRNA from 1 species